CUCCCGCGGCCGCUCCCCGCCAUGGCCGCCCCCCCCGGCCGGGAUUGGUUCCACUGCAAUCGCUGCUACCGGCAGGACGGUACCCGCUUCUCCGUCACCAGCUGCGGGCAUGUUCUGUGCGAGGCCUGCCUGGGUGCAGGGCCGUGCCCCAUCUGCGCUGCUGUGUGCCGUCGCUUCCCCAUCCCAGAGCAGCUGGAGGAGACACUCUUCUUAAAGAGUCCCGCUGCCAUCGCCCGGCAGCACUUGGCACACAUCUCUCAGGCCUGGCGCUUCCAGCAGGCACAGGUGAACCUGCUGCUUGCCUCCCACCGUGACACAGUGCAUCGGGCUGAGGCAGCACUGCGGGAUGCCCGCCGGGCAUUGGACUCCAAGCAGAGGGAAGCAGACGCACUGCGGAGGGAGAACGGGGAGCUGCGGAGGCACCUGCGGGAGGCUGAGGUCUCCCCUACGUGGCGGUCGAGCAGGAGCAGCACUCCUCGGCCCAUUGGCAUCACUUCCCCAGCAACGACAGUCACCCCACAGCCUCGGCGGCAGCUCAGUGGGCAGGUGGUGAGCCGCUUGGCCUCACUGGAACUCCCCUCGGCCAGCAGCACCCCGACGUGGCUGGCCCCAUCUCCAGGCUCCACCCCCAGUCUGGCCCACAGGGCCACCCUGCUGGCUUCCCAUACUCCACUGUGGGGUCCUUUCACCACUCCGCCGCUGCCAGUCACCAUCCUGCCUGGUGAGCCCCAGCACUUUCUCUCUGCCGGCCUGCAGCCCCCCCGUGGCUGAGCCCACCACGUCAAAACCUCGACCAAGAUCGUCCCGCCGCGCUGCCUUGUGCAGCUCAAGGAAGCUCCCUGUGGAGUGCUGGUGGAACCCCUGCAUGGUCCAGCAAUGUGGGAUCAUCACUGCCAUUUUGGAGGUGGAGCGGCCAUCUUGGAAGCAGCUACCUUUCCAAGAUCCUCUGUCUCCCUGCCAAGACCCCACCAGUUCCUGUUGUCUUCCUACUCUUUGCAAUUCUGGGGCUGCCAGAGGGGUUCGCUGCGCCCCCAUGGUGCACCACACCCCUCCAGGCCUGGCUUCCACCUCCUGCUUAGCAUCACCAUGCGGGCUAAGGUAUGCUUGGAGCCAGGGGAACCUUGUGGAGAAGGAGCCUGGCCGGGGGAAGCUCAAAACCUAAUGCUGGGGAUGCCAAGGCCCAGUGGAAGCUCCUAUAGGAGCUGUGCCCUGUGUGAAAGGACCCCCUCGUGGGAACCCUAUGGCCCUAUAGAAGCUUCUGCUGAGCUGAUUUUGCUCAUGGGGAUCCUUAGGUCCUAUGGUGGGAACCUAAGGCUAAGUGUAGGAACCCACAGCUACAUAAAAGCUUCCAGAGGACUGAUUGUGCUUGAAGUGAACUCAUACCCCCAUGGAGGGACCCCAAGGACAUGCAGAGGUGUAAUGGUACACGCUGAAGGCCACAUAGGAACCCCAAUGGAGCUGACCCUUACCCACCACAUCCUCUCAGCCCUGUGCUGGGUCUCCAGCCCGACCCCUGCAGUUUGGCCAUGAUGAGUUAUCAUCAUGGGGUCACGGCCACCUGGCCAUAAUGGUGGCCACAUACGGCUGGUGGCCACCACUCUGCUAACCUGUUUGUCCCUGCAGGGCUCUACUAUGCGGGCAGUGAGGGAACCCACGUGACUGGCUGAGCUCUUGUGGGCUUAUGCUCCGCCUGCAGCACCUUGGGCUGAGGCCGCAGCUGCGGGCUCCCAGUGGAGGCUGCCUGAGGCCUGCUCUGCUCUGCCAUCUUCCAGGAAACACGAUGUGAUGCCUCCUUGGGCUGCCACGGUGCUGUGCAAUGUCAGGCACCUGGCUGCACCACAUCAUCCAACAGCAUGGCCAAGCUGCAGGAGCACUGUGGAUCACAGCAAGUCCAGCCUGAGGCUCUGCAGGGAUGGAGGGGUGAGGAGCUGCUCCAGGGAUUGAUCUUGGUCAUGGAGGGGCUACUGCAGUCAGUGUUAGGGGUGUUGUGGCACAAGGAGUCUCCUUAAUUAAGAUGGUUUUGGGGUGGAGGGACUUUUUUCCAGGUAUAUAAAGUUUCCUGAUUCGUUACAGCUGAUGUCUGUUGUUGUUGGAGGUGGGGCGUGUGGUUGGGUGCAGCUCCUGAUAAUGGAGGAUGGGAUGUGAGUACAUGGCAUGGAUGGCUCUGCCCCGUGUGUGUGUGUGCUGUUGGAGCUGGGGGAGGCGAGAAUGGCACUGAGCAGACAGCAGGUGCUCCAACAGCACUGGGACGUGUCCGGGUGUCUCUGGAGAUCACCAUGAGGCCCUGGGUGAUCUUCAGGUCCCAUCAGAGGGCACCGGGUUCCACCAGUGUUGUAGAGUGCCUCAGUCUCUACAGCGGGCCCUUGGAAGCCCCGCAGGAAGGCUCGGUGGGGCCUGGAGGAGCAGAGCUUUGGUGGUGUCUGACCGGGGGGCGGCUGCCCCGGGAAAGUGCCUGAGGAUUCUCCGGGCGGUGCCAGGAGGCCCUGAGGGUACGAGGAGCUCCGCAGUGCGUUUGGCUGCCUCCGGAAAGCUUUGAUCGCUACAAACUCCCAAAUCCUCGCUCCGCGGCCGAGCACAUCCGGAGACAGCCGAACCCUCCGCUAAAACCGCAGCUCCUCCCGGCAAAACGCUCCCGAGCACAGAAAGAAUCAACGGAUCGCCGGUCGGCGAGCGCGCUCAGCCUUAAGAGAACGGAUGCAGCAGCAGCCGCCCCACGCGCCCCUUAAAAACAGCUCUAUGUGCUCCCAGCUCCCCGUCCCGAGCCCCGCAGCUCAGACCAGGAGCUGCGUCAGCGCCCAACGCCUUCCGGCUCCCGGAGCUCCGUCCUGCGUGCCCGAGCGAACCCCGGGAACGGGCCGGUUCGGCUCCCGCUGCCCCGUCCGCUCCGCUGUCCGGCAGCGCCAGGCCGCUCCGCAUCGAACCGCGGCUUCCGGAUGUAUGGCAUCUGCUCGUCCAAUCGCUACUGCGCGUGCUCCAGUAAACGCCUGCCUUUGUCUCCAGUCCUCCAGGCUCUAUGGUCACCCGUCUGCUAGGCAGCAACCCGCGCGCCACAGAAAUGCGGAAGUGGCGUUUCUUUACCGCUGCUGCUCUGCGCCGCCGGUCUCUAUGGUAAAAGAUUCUUACGGAAGUACAAGGCGCGCGCCCGCAGACGUGGAAGUAGGGCAGCUUUGCUUCCGGCGCUCAGUGCCGUCAGUCCCGUCGGUACGGUGUGCUGUUCGCUAGGCGGUACCACGCAUGCGCACACAAACGCGGAAGUAGGGGCGGUCCGGUCCGUGCAGCGUCGCUGAGCGGCCGUGGAACGGGCGGGGAGGCGCCACCGCCGCGGGGAGAGAGCAGCGCUGCGGCGCGGGACGGAAAAGGAACAGUCAGGCCCUUUUUGGUGUCCUGGAUCACUCUACAACUCGGGGUGGAAGUUGAAGACUCAGAUCCAAUAUCCCACAGGCACAGCUGAUGCUGAACCCAGGAGCCCAGGUUGUGCUCAGGAGUUACUCCAAGAUGAGGAGUUUUGAAGACUAUUGGUCUUCAAGCAGGUGACAGUAGCAGCAGAACACUGGGCCAGUGCAGGGGGAAGGAAGAGGGAAAGGACAGGAUACCUUCAGAGCAGCCUGAAAAGCAGCAACGAGCUCUGGGAGGACUACAGAGUGCCACAUUCUGUAACAGGUGUAUCUGUGUGUGUAUUGCCAUUACUUGUUUGGGUCGGGGUUGUUUUCACUUCUGAGCUCCUGCAGUGAGAAGAGCUCGAGCAAAUGGUGCAAUCCAUGCAGACCUGUAGAAUCCUUGGUAAGGGCAGCCCCAGCCCUCAGCUGCUGUACAAGCAGCUUGUCAGCUGGACAAGCUUCCUCCGUGUGCCCACGCUGUGGGCUGUGCGGCUGUGCCUGGCUGCACUGCUCCAGCCCAGAGCCCACUGCCUGCAGCUGCAUCUCUGCUUCCUUCCCUCCCACACAGAGCUCCAAGGGUGCUCCUGCCAUCCCCUGCCCACCCCUAAAAUGCCAAAUACAUUUGGCAGCGGGAUGGAGGAAUCCCAGCACGCUGCUUCCUCUGUCCCCCAGGGCUCCCGUCUGAGCAAUGGGAAUGGUCUGUGGGGAAAGGGAGUGCUGGCAGGAGGCACUGCUGCAGCCGGCUGGGGAUGGUCUGCAUAGCCCAUGCCCUUGUGUUCUCUCUCCAGCUGAAUCAGGACCAGAGAAGGCCAGAUCAGAAGCUGCAGCUGAGACUGAUGGACCUGCACAACUGCAAAAGUGCCGUGGCUAUAAGCAGCGGAAGGCAUAUCAAACUGGGUUACUUGCGAGCACACCAGGACUGGAGUGAAGAUUCAAUUAGUAACCAGGCUGUAUCAAACCAGAAGGCGUUACAGAGAUCACCUGUGGUGCUUCAGAGGCCACAUAAGAAGCCGUUCAAUGGAUUCAUUACUCUUCCCUAAAGGAGCUGAAAUGGCUGUUGUUGUUGUUCUUCAGUCCUGGAGAAAUGACGCUGUAAAAAUUCAAGCCUUUAUCUGAGCAAACAAAGCACGAGAAGAGGACAAAACCCCCAGAUGUCAUUUCUCACAGCAAAAAACUUUCUAAGCAGUACAAGAAGCAAAAGGGAGGUUUGAAAGCUUUGAGCGAGUAGAAGAGGGAACAAAGGCUGGCAGCCCAUCGGCAUCUGUUCUGCUUCCUUCAGGUAUGGACCAAUCAACUUUGUUCUCUAGGAACUCAGCUGUUUUUCUUUAGCCCUGUGCUUUAUCCCUCAGGGAGGCACUAAUUUUGAUCUGAUGCAACGCCUUCCUAAAUCCAGUCCAGUCUCAAUUCUCUGCUUACAAGGGCUUCCAAGGGACUGCAAGCUCAGGCUUUACAGGUCAGAGGUGAAGCCAACAGGGAGACCUCUGGAUGUUCAGAAAGAAACAAGAAGGCUGGGAAUCAGCUGCUUUGUUGGAUGCUUUCACUGACUGUCCUACUUAAGGAUCCUGCCUGUCCAUGGACACGUUGGGUUGGUUUGGCUGGAGCUUUGGAGCUCGGUGCUUAUGGCUUUCAUUCUUUAUGGCACAGAGUGGCGCCAUGUGCUGCCUGGACCAGAUACACGUAUUGCUGGAGGAGAUCACUCUGUGCAUUGUAUUUUUUCUUUAAUGCUUUUAAGGCGUGAGGGGUUGAUUGCCUUCUAACAGGUCACGUCUACAAGAAAUGCAUUUUUCUUCUUUCUUUCCUUGCAGCCGUAGUUCAGGGAAAUGUGGAUGCUUUCUUCUCUGCUGCUGUUUCCCAUAGCAGUAUCCUAGGAAUGGCUUCUGUCACGGAUUGCUUACUUGCUUACUUCAAAUACUGAAAGAAAUGACCGUUCUUUUCCUUCUGCCUGUGUAGAACUCCCUUUGAUUUUGAUGACAAAUCCAUUAUCUGUUUCCCAAAAGUGAUGCUGAGCACCGUGCCUCAUGAUGACUUACACAUACCUCGUGCUUCAUAUUAAUUCCUCAUUUGGGUCAAAAGUAGACUGAAAUCCUUGAGCCUGUGCCUGGGGAUCCCGCUGCUACUGAGACAGUUCAGCUGCAGUGCCCGCGGUCAGAACGCCCUGCGGCAAUCCUGGCAUCGGCUGUGAAUGAGAGAACUGACAGCAAAUCACUCAAUAUCGAAACCCAUCCGGUGGAUAUCUCUGAGCCUUGGGUGAGCUGGGCGGCAUCUCAGGGUGGUGAGGUCGGGUAUGGAGGCUGUUACUGCGAUGUUCCUUCUAAGAGCUGCUCGGCUGUUUUGCGUUGCUCUGAUUAAUUGUUCCAAGCUAUCCUUGGCUUUGCUGCACACAUCUGUCUAAUUGGUACCAUGUUUUUUCAUCACCUCCGAUGCUGGCUGAAAAAAAAGGAAUAAUAAUAAUUAAAAAAAAUGCACAACAGCAA